AGUGAACGCUGGCGGUAGGCCUAACACAUGCAAGUCGAACGGCAGCACAGUAAGAGCUUGCUCUUACGGGUGGCGAGUGGCGGACGGGUGAGGAAUACAUCGGAAUCUACUUUUUCGUGGGGGAUAACGUAGGGAAACUUACGCUAAUACCGCAUACGACCUACGGGUGAAAGCAGGGGAUCUUCGGACCUUGCGCGAUUGAAUGAGCCGAUGUCGGAUUAGCUAGUUGGCGGGGUAAAGGCCCACCAAGGCGACGAUCCGUAGCUGGUCUGAGAGGAUGAGCAGCCACACUGGAACUGAGACACGGUCCAGACUCCUACGGGAGGCAGCAGUGGGGAAUAUUGGACAAGGGGCGCAAGCCUGAUCCAGCCAUACCGCGGGGGUGAAGAAGGCCUUCGGGUUGUAAAGCCCUUUUGUUGGGAAAGAAAAGCAGCAGGUUAAUACCCCGCUGUUCUGACGGUACCCAAAGAAUAAGCACCGGCUAACUUCGUG
rnacentral:rRNA from 1 species